rnacentral:lncRNA from 1 species
AGGAAAUUUGUGCCACGCCCCGGCUAUUCCCAGAUAACCCUUGGGAAGGACAGGUGAAGCAGGGGCUGCUGGGCGAUUGCUGGUUCCUGUGUGCCUGCGCCGCCCUGCAGAAGAGUCGGCAUCUCCUGGACCAGGUAUGGGGCUCCCGGCCCAGGGUUGUGACCAAGCAGGCCUCUCUCUGCACAGGGAGCCCCUUCAGACACACAGCCCUGUGCAGUGCUUCCGUGGCUGUGCAGGAGGUCAGUGGGAAGCUUGAGGGCUCCAAGCCUGCGACUAUUGACCAGCAUAUCCCUCUCAUGCAGGAGUGGACCAGAUUGGGGGUCUCUGCCCCGCUCUGAGAUCUGGUUCUCCAUGUGGCCAGAGCCACGCUCUUGGGGUAAAAAGACAUGGGCCAGCUGUUUUCAUCACCUGGUAAAAAACAUCUUUCCUUAGAGAGAUAAAGGUUUAUUUUGGCUCCAGCUGCAGAGGUUCCAGCCCAUGGUCAGCUGGCUCCAUUGCUCUGGGCUGAGGCAAGGUAGAGCAUCAUGGUCGAAGGGUAUGGCAGAUCCGAACUUCCUCAGUGCAGUCAGGAAGUGGACUGGGGAGGCCACCACCUCAGUAUUGCCAUCAAAUACAAAUCUCAGCAGACAGACCCUCUGAGGAAGUCAGAGCCCUCCUGAUCCAGUCACCUCUGCACACUGCUGUACUGGGGACCAGGCUCAACCCGAGCCUUUGGGGAACCCUUCAUACCCAAACCACAAAACCACACCAACCUGGCACGGAAUAGGAUCAGCAGAAGGGCCUGUGUUACUGGUUUGGCAUCUCUUUCCUGAACUUGUUGCUCUCUAGCCCAACUCCUGUACUUGGGAUAGAACCCCAGAAUGUUCUGCCACUGAGCUAUACCCCCUGCUCUUUUUAUUUUUUAUUCUGAGAUAAGGCCUCACUAAGUUGACCAGGCUGGCCUCAACCUUGCCACCCUCCUGCCUUAGCCUCCUGAGUCAUUUGGGUUAUAGGCCUGUACUACAAUGCCCAGCUGAUUUUCUUUUUUUAAAAAAACAGGUUUUAAAUGUAAAAAUGUGAAAGGUAAUCAAAACUGUUCUGGCAGAUACCACAGCGCAGAAGCCUGUGCAGAUUUUCUUCUGUGUUCGCUAUUUUAGGCGUGGCUCUUUGCUCAGGGUUCUCAAAUAGGGCAGGUGCACCCAUGUGGAGCCCUGUCUGCCCUGGGCCAAAACACAUGGCUCUCAUACCUCCUCUCCAGGAGCCCGUACUGGCUUUGACCUUUCUUUCAGAAGAGAGUGCUGACCCCAUGGUCGUCCUCUUCCCGGCCCCUGAGUGGUGGGGCCAGCACGUACAGGUCUGCCUGGUGCGGCCCUAUGCUCCUCUAUCCCUGGAUGGGAAUCGGAGAUCCCAGGGAACCAGGAGUGGGCGUGAUGGGUCCAACAGCCCGAAGGGCUGCUAGGCUCAGGGGACCUGCUGUUUGCAGCCAGUUCUGUCAAGAGUUGAGUCGCUUGUACCUGCCAGAAUCAGUUGUUUUGGAUUCAGGUUUUAUACUUAUUUGGGACUAAAAUGUAAUGGUUGACUUUUUAAAAAAAGUUUUGGAGGAUAUUGUGUUCCUGAAUGCAAUUCAAAAGUAUUCAGAUGGAAAGACUGUGCAUGUUGUUUCUGGUGGUUGAGUUUGCUGUGAGCAGGGAUGGACACUGGUGCAGGUCCACCAAGCCCUUGCGCUCUGCAGGCACCUGUGCUUGCUGGGCAACCUGUGGUCAAGAUGCUGGGGGCUCCUAGUGCUGCUUGUCUCUCAUGUUCUGCUUUUCCUCUCCCUGUGCGCGGUAGGUCUUCCCUCCAGGACAGCCGAGCUGGUCCGACCAGACAUACUGUGGCCUCUUCACCUGUCGAAUUUGGCAGUUUGGAAGAUGGGAGGAGGUGACCAUAGAUGACCGUCUGCCUUGUCUUGCAGGGAGACUCUGCUUCUCCCGCUGCCAGAGAGAGGAUGUGUUCUGGCUUCCCUUACUGGAAAAGGUCUAUGCCAAGUACGUGUGCUGUACUGAGCAGCAGGACCAGGCUAGACGUCCUGGCUUGUGACAUCCAUGCGUGGCUCUUUGCUCAGGGCCGCAGAGUGCCUGGCAACCUUAGGGUCUGGUAGCCGGGCCUGUGGGUCCAGAGGCAGGUGUUCUGCUUUGGGGCUUGUGGCUGGCCCUUAUCCUGCCCACUCUCUGCCUCCCCAUCUCUCAGUCCAGGUGGGGUCGUCGCUCCGCAGGAAGGACAAACAUGUCCUCCUUUUCAUUUUCUCAGACCCAACAAGAAAGUAUUUUUUGCGUACUUGUCCUUGAACGUUCAGGAGAGGUGGCCUCUGCACAGUUGUUGGAGAGGAGCAAGCCACUUGGGUGGCAAUACUCACUUGUCACAGUAUUCUUUGCGAGUUUUGAUUGCACAGCUUUCCCUUUAGAUUGUGGAUAGCAACUUGCUGAAGGAGCUGACCCAUUGGCAGGCAUUUGAAAGGGCUGGCCAGGGACCUCAUUGAUAUUUGCGCAUGGGGUGUGAGCUCCAGGGACGAGGGCGUUGGUGUCUCUGCACCAUUCUCGUUUUACACUUUGCCCGCACUGGAGGCCAGAAGGUGUCUGAGCAUGGCAGAAGCUGCUGGGACACAGUUGAUGGGCAUUUGCAGGAGAGACCAAGCCCAGACUUGGUGACAACUACAGUAAGAGGCUUGAUGGGAGUGGAGACUGGAAGACGAGAGUCCUGCUGAGGCUCACUCCACGACGCUAUCGUCCCCUAGGGUCUACGGGUCCUAUGAACACCUGUGGGCAGGGCAGGUGGCAGAUGCCCUGGUGGACUUAACUGGUGGCCUGGCAGAGAGGUGGAGCCUGAAGGACUUAGCAGGAACCCGUGGCCAGCAAGACAGACCCCGUGGCUGGGAGCACAGGACGUGUCGGCAGCUGCUCCGCUUGAAGGACCAGUGUCUGAUCAGCUGCUCUGUUCUCAGUCCCCGAGCUGGUAAGGCUGUGGCCGCAGGCGCUCCCUGCCUACCUGAUGCCUGUUGGCGCUCUGCCCCUUCUCCAGAGAGAGGUUCCCUCUUCCCUCGACCAGUCCUUUCAGUAGAGCGCGGCAGGACCCACAUGGCUGUGUCCUGCAGAGAGUCUAGGAAGCAGGUGGCAGACAGAGUCGAGGCUGAUCACAUUCGUCAUCCACCCAACUGGCGACCCUGCAAAAUCCAGACCCCUUUUCUGUUUUAGUGAAAUGUAUCAAGGCUCAUGAGGGAAGUUGGUAUAGAAGAUGUCAGCGACGUGUGACUUUUUUGGGUAUUUUGUUUUUUUUUAUAAACGUCUUUAUGUUUUGUCUUCUAGUUAGUUUGUUUGUUUUUUGGUACCAAGGAUUGGACUCUGGCACUCAGCUGCUGGGAUCGCUGGCUUGUGCCGCCCCAGCCCCUGCUCUGGUGUUUUGUGUGCCUUUCUAAGCUGUUAUGUGAAUGUUGCAGGGUUUUGUUUUGUUAAUGGACUUGCCAAGAUUUUCUUUAUACUUCUUCUAAUGUGGGAUGUUUGAGUCCUUUUGUUUGUCAUAAAUGAUACUCCAGUGAACAUCUCUGUAAUUUCUACUUACAUGUAAGGUGUUUUUUUUAAUAUUUAUUUUUUAGUUGUAGUUGGACACAUACCUUUAUUUUAUUUAUUUAUUUUUAUGUGAUGCUGAGGAUCAAACCCAGGGCCUCGCACAUGCUAGGCGAGGGCUCUACCACUGAGCCCCAGCCCCACGUGUAGGAUUAGUUUUGAUAAUGAUUUUGGUUAAAAACAUGAACAUGAGUAUGGACUGAAGCAUGCAGGCAGCCUCGCGGACCCUGCCAGGCAGUGUCUGGGGUUGGUCAGGUGCUGGUUUGGGUCCCAGGACUCCCUCAGAGCCAGCAGCUCCCUGGAGUUGUUGACUUGGGCCUGCCCCAGAGUGGUAGGGCUAAUUCCUAGCACUUAUGGCUUUGCCCCCUGCCCCCAGCCCCCAGAGAGAAUGGCUGGAGCCCACUGAAGUGUCAAGGGCUGGGGACAAGAGGGACACCGGAGUGGCAACUGUGGUGCCCUAGGUGAAGCCCUGAGGUAGUUCCAGGAGCUCACUUUGCUCUUUCUGGCCCACUGCCCUGCCUCCUGCAUGUCAGCCUCCAUGUGUCCCAAGGUGUCACCAGGUGAGCCCUCGCCUGGCAGCCAGUCCUCCCUGUUACCUCUGGUCUGAAUGGCCCUGCCUCCAGCUGACUUUGCCCCAACGGGUCUCUUGGUUCUGGGCAGUUGCCGGCUGCUCAGUGGCAGUGAAAGCAGAGAGGUCCUUCCCUGACAUGUGGUGGCUGCCAAGGUCUGGGACAGGAAUGGCUUGCACAAGAAGCCAGGGCCCGCCUUGGCUCUUUGCAUGGCACAGUGUGCUGCUGGAGACUCCUGAGCUAACUGACCUGCAGUCAAGAAUGGCGCUCCGUGGUCCUGGGCCCUGGAGCCUCCUGGUACCCGGGCUGGAACAUUCUGGCAGGGUGGCGGAGACCCGUGUGUUCUCCCCCGUGGGGACUCUGUUCUGUACCUGGGCUCUGCCUCACACAGGUGCCAGGGACCUGGGGGCAUUCCAUGCCUUCAUCGUCUCAGAUCUGCGGGAACUCCGGGGACGAGCUGGCCAGGGCAUCCUACUGCUGCGGAUCCUGAACCCCUGGGGCCGGCACUGCUGGCAGGGACUCUGGAGAGAGGGGUGAGUGCCAGGAGCAGGGCCCUGAGACCCUGUGGUCCCCGGCCUUCUGGCCUGUGCCUUAGUGAGUCCAGCUGUCAGGUCAGUGUUCAUGUCUGCAGGGCCACUUGGUGGCACCUCGUGCACUGCUAUGUUCAGGGCCUCGGGCAGUUCUUGGGAGGUGUGGGACCACCGUGACCCUAGGUCUUGGGGGAACCCGCAGACCCGGGAACAGGAACUUGGUUUGAAGACCCAGCUAAGCCAGGAUCCCCUGGAAGCCUGGAGCUGCAGAUGGUGGUGGACUCCCAGCCGGAGUGCAUGCAGCAGCUCCACCUGAGACCACAGGGCAGGUGUCGUUCUGGGUUGUGGUGUCCGGGAAGCCAGUCCAGAGGCAAGAAGCCCCUCUGGGGAAGGAGAGAGGCUCCCGCAAGUGCUGCCGUGGGGAGGCCCCUCAUCUCAGGAUGCCUCUCGACACGGGAGGGGGCCCAGCAGCAGGACCACGGGGUGCUGGAAGGGGGGACUCUCGGGCCCCCAGCUGAUGCUGCCAGCUCUUGGGAGCAGCUUUCCUGAGGGAGGCUCCUUACAGGGGUGAAGGGUGGAGUCAGGUGGAGCCAGCUGAGGGGGCCGAGCUGCUGUCCCAGCUCCAGGACGGGGAGUUCUGGGUGGAGGAAGAGGAGUUCCUCAGGGAAUUUGAGGAGGUCACCAUUGGCUACCCCGUCACAGAGGCCGGCCACCUGCAGAGUCUCUACACAGGUAGGGCAGCAGGAGAGUGGGUCCCACGUGGGCACCCUGGGCAGAGCUCAUGCCCAGGCCCCACCCGUGCAUCCUGGGAACUGGAGGAGGUUGAGGCUUACCCGCAUGGCCCGGGGGUACAGCAGGGCUGUCCCAGAGCUGAUGUGGAUGCUCUCCUGCUAGAGAAGACGCUGUGCCACACGCAGGCGCUGCCUGGUGCCUGGGUCGUGGGGCAGUCAGCUGGAGGUUGCCGGAACAACAGCUGCUUUCCCUGCAACCCCAAGUACUGGCUGAGGCUCUCGGAACCCAGCGAGCUGUGUGUGGCUGUUCUGCAGAGACCCAGGAAGCACCCAGCAGGCAGGGCCCGGGCUCUGGUGGGCUGUGGCCCUGCCCCAUCAAGCCUCCUGGGCAAGGAUCACCAGGUCAAGGACUACCAGGCCGUGGGCCUGCACAUCUGGAAGGUAACUGUCACCCCGCCCACCCCCGCAGUGGCUGUGGGGACCAGGCCUGCUUUUGGCACUCUGCCAGGGGCCCUGUCUCUCACCUCCUUGGGCUGCCAUGGACCCAGCUGAGCUGAGGCCCUGUGCCUCACUGGCCAGAGAAGAACAGGGCAACAGCCAGAGGGGGGCCACAGGAGCUGCCCACGGGCCCUGCUCUCGGCCGUGCUCUCCAGCACAGUGAGCGGAACCACUCAGGAGAGGAGCUGCUUCCGUCCUGCAGACGACCCUCUGACUCCUCCCUGGCUCCUUCCCCUGCUUUGUGGGGAUCGUGAUGCUGAUCUUUGACCUCUUGGGACUGUUCUGAGGCUUUUGUCACACUCAGCCACUAGAUCCUAAACUGGCUGUUUCCUGGAAGACUGGCUGGGCUGGGCGCUGCUGCCCGUCUGCCUGCCCAGUGGCUGUGUCCUCAUGGGCUGGGAGCUGACACUGCCCUUUGUGGGCAGACCUGCAUUAUGGUUCUUUCCUCUUACGAAGGAGGGGCUGAGCCCUUUCCCAUAGUCCCCCAGCUAUGCUGGCCAGGGGCCUUUGGGGGCACAGCCCUGUGUAGAUUUGUUUGUUUUCUUCUUGACCCUGGUGACAGGGCUCUGGGAAGCCUUGGGUCUGGCUUUUCCAGUUGGCCCUUGAGAGGAUGAGGGUGCGGAUGGACUUUGACCUGCUAGCUUGAGAGGCCUUCCUGCUGAGCAGGGAGCAGAGAGCUGGGUGCUGGGCGCUCUCCCACUGACCUCUGCCUGCCCUCUGCAGGUGGAGAAACGGCGGGUCAGCCUGCCCAGAAUCCUGUCCACACCGCCUGUGGCUGGCACUGUGUGUCAUGCAUAUGACCGAGAGGUCCAUCUACACUGUGAGCUCCCCCCUGGCUACUACCUGGCUGUCCCCAGCACCUUCCUGAAGGACAUGCCAGGGCAGUUCCUGCUCCGAGUUUUCUCCACAGGCAAAGUCUCCCUCAGGUGAGGAGCCAGUGGCAGCUGUGAGCAAGGGUUCAUCCGGGGAUGGGACUCUGGUGGCUGCCCUGGUUGGGCACAGUCCUCAGACAGGCUGCUAGCACCCUCCUCCGCUCGUCCCUCCACAGUGCUGUCAGGCCAGCAGCCAAGGGCGCCUCCCCUGGGGCAGCCCUGCCCUCCGGCGAGUGGGAGACCCUGCAGCUGCGGGGCUGCUGGAGAGCAGGCCGGACAGCAGGGGGCAGCAGGAACUUCGCCUCCUACCUCUGCAACCCCUGCCUCCCUUUCUCGGUCCCCGAGGGCUCCAGUCCCCGAUGCAUCCGAAUCACCCUGCACCAGCACUGCCCGCUCAGUGACAGCCAGCUGCAUCCCAUUGGCUUUCAUGUCUUCCAGGUGGGCUCCUCAGCAAGGGACAGGUACGGGGAGGCCCAGGCAACCCAUGUCUGUCCCAUGUUGUCCCAGUAAUCAGCUGCCUGGGAGGCAGAGCCUGGGCUCAGUUGGGCACAUCAGCCCAGCUGGCUGGUCUCAUGGGAGGCUGGUCUCUAGGUUUCUAAGGCUGUAUUUGCUGGGGUCAGCUCAGAUGGCCCUUGGCCACUCACCCUGGCUCGGAACAUCUGUGUCCUGAGGUCAAUUCUCCCCAGAGCAUGCCCCCUACCCCAGGAUCCUGGACCCUGGAGGCUGCUCAGGGGAUUCUGGGCAGACACCCAGCCUCACCAUGGAUCUGGCCCCAGCCAGCAAUUUCAGAGAAGCCCUACCCACUGGUGCAACAGGGAGUGAACACACCCAGGAGCCACCCAGGUCAUACCACCUGCCCCUCCCAUGUCACUGAGCGCCCUGGGUGGGACUGGCAAGAGCUGCACCCCAGUGGGGGGCAGUGGAAGUCAGAGCAGCGAUGGCCUGGUCUGGAAGAAGGGGUGUGUGGGGCCAGAGGAGCAGACAGUGGGGUGAGCUGCUCCCGCAACCAGCAGGCAGAGGAGAGGUGGGGGUGCCCUCAGGGAGGCCAGCAGCCCGAGGGUGCCCCUGGAGCUACCGGAGCCUGCAGCUGGGGUCAGCCCUGCACAGGUGAGUCGGGAAGGAGGCAGCCGGGCAAAGUGAUAGUCGCCCCAGUGUCAUUCCAGAGGGCGGCGCAUCAGUCCAGGUCAGCCCUGGGAGGGGUAGGGUCAGGAAGCAGAGGUCAUGCCAAGGGACCUCGCCAUGGGCCAUUCUGGUGACACUGCUGCUCAUGCUUAGCCAUUCCUGCAGGUGGAGGUGGCUCAGGCUCCUGCCAGGGAAGGGCUGAUCAGACCUCACCCGGUGCCUUCCUCAGCCCGGCUCUGUCCUGCCCCUGCUAUAGCCAGCCAGGGGAGGCACACUUAGCAGAUCUGGAGGGGGAGGGAGAGUUCAUGUCUCAGGGUCACAGGCCCUGAGUUCUGUGGGGACAGUUCUGGGGCUCCCAGCCCACACGGAGCUGUGCUUGUCCUGGGAGGACAAUGGCUGAGGAUGUCCUGGGCUAUAGCUGGUGGGAACACAUGGCCUGGCAAGCAGUGACCAAGAGAAGAGAGCGGGAUUUCUGGUAAGAGGGUCGGUGCCUCCCCCGGAGGAGCCACUGAGCCCAGAGAGCUGAGGAAGACACUGGGACCUUGCCCGGUGCUGCGUGCUGUGUGGGCCACCAGGAAGGAGCUCAGACCAAAAUGCCAGUGCCCAGGGGCUGCUGGCCAGAGCACUCUGGGUUGGGGUCUGGGCAGUGGUACGUGCCGACCACAGAGCUGAUCUGAGGUUCUUGGGCUUGGUGCCACUGCCAGGGCCUUCUGGCAAGGGUGGUCCAACUUCAGUGGGAGGGAGGUUCAGUGUGUGGGCCUGGCACUUGCUCCCCAGAAAAGGGGUGCAUGUGAUUCAGGAGGGCCAGGCAUCAGCAUCUUGGGAUCCAGCAGACUCCAGCUGCUGCUGCCUGGGCAGUGCCCCCAUCCAUACAGCCGCCUCAGGCUGAGCCCUGCACCCUCCAGGUCCCUGCAGGUGGCGAGAGGCAGGGUGCAGGCCCCCUGCUGCUCCAGGAGCCACUGCUGAGCUGUGUGCCACAUCGCUAUGCCCAGGAGGUGAGCCGGCUCUGCCUGCUGUCUGCGGGCACCUACAGGGUCGUGCCCUCCACCUACUGGCCUGACACCGAGGGCUCCUUCAUGGUGACCAUAGCAACCAGAGUGGACAGGUGCGGCUCUGGGCCUUGGGAUGACCAGCAGGUGUUCUUGGCCCUGAGCACUCAGCAGCCUUCCCCGUCUGGUUCUCUGCUGACCCAAGGCAUGAAUGGGCCUGCUUGCCUGGCUGAGCUGGGAGGAGGGUCUGGUGAGAGGCCAGCCGGGAGCAGGUGGCCCCCGGUGAGCUGCCCUCUCUCCACAGGCGGUCCAUUCACAGCCAGGAGAUGCUGGGCCAGGUCCUCCAGGAGGUGCGUGCAGCCCCUGCCUGCAGCCCCCAGCAGCCUUGCAUCCCAGUGCCUGAGGCCCCUCCCAGCUGCCUCACUCAGUGGCCUCUGCUACCCUGAGUCACAGGGCAGAGCUUGCAGGGACUUGGGGGCUGGGCUGUCACAGUCCCUAGGGGCAUUUGGGGGGGGGGUGGGAGCAGCCCUGAGCCCACCUUUCCGUCCCUCUUGCAGGUUUCCCUCACUGCAGUGAUGAAGGCCUAGCCGGGCUCCCACGGGGCAGCUCUGGGGGCUGGAGCUGGCCAAGCCUUGACCUGCCUCAGCUCUGCAGGGUGGCCACAGCUUGGGUCCCGAGUGAGGUGCUCUGUCCUGGAGAGAGGGAGUCUUGGGGUGGCACAGGUGCUGCAGGAGGGUCAGGAAGUCCUGUGGUGUCUGUCCCAUGCCCAAGACCCCAGGGUCCCUUCCACAUGGUCCUGCCAACUCCAGGCGGGCACGUGUUGUAACAGGUGUUGCUGGGAGCUGUUUAUCACUUGAAAUAUCUUUUAGGACAUGACUAUAAAUAAACACGAGCAGUUUGUG